AAAUUUUAAAGUUGAGAGUUGAAAAGAUCUGACAAAUGGGCUGCAAUCCAAUGGACAAGAAUGUCAUAUAGAAACCCAAAUUUACCUUGGACUUUAGAAUCAAGCAACAAACAAUUCACAAAUAUCAAGUUGAAGAGCAAGACAUCAAAUAAAGAUAGUCACAUCCAAGCUUAGCAACUUCAUGAUUUUCUUCAAAAUUUGCCCAUGCAUCAGAUGACUUCAAAGAUGGCAU
rnacentral:lncRNA from 1 species